rnacentral:rRNA from 1 species
AUUGAACGCUAGCGGCAUGCUUAACACAUGCAAGUCGAACGAGUGGCGGACGGGUGAGUAAUAUAGCGGAACGUGCCCAGUAGCGGGGGAUAACUACUCGAAAGAGUGGCUAAUACCGACUAACAUGGUAGGGGCCGAGAUGGGAUUAGCUGGUUGGUGGGGUAAAGGCUAACCAAGGAAACGAUCCGUAGCUGGUUUGAGAGGACGACCAGCCACACUGGGACUGAGACACGGCCCAGACUCCUACGGGAGGCAGCAGUGGGGAAUUUUGGACAAUGGGGGAAACCCUGAUCCAGCCAUCCCGCGUGUAUGAGAAGGCCUUCGGGUUGUAAAGUACUUUUGGCAGAGAAGCGGUAUCUGCAGAAUAAGCACCGGCUAACUACGUGCCAGCCGCCGCGGUAAUUC